rnacentral:rRNA from 1 species
AUGGGACCUUGGGGUGGGGAUGGUGGGACAUCCUUUGACAUCACGGAGCUGCCUCGUUCUCUUCAAACUGUGACAAUUAGAUGUGGGGACGUGAUUAACUCGGUUAUGUUUUCCUACACUGACCAAACUGGCCAGAAGAAAACUGCUGGACCAUGGGGUGGUGAUGGUGCACUUACUGCAACGAUCACACUUGCUCCUUCCGAGUUUAUAAAGCAAGUUCUUGGAACUACCGGUGCAGUUGGAGGAGAGACAAUUGUUACAUCACUUACCUUGGUCAGUAGUGUUACAACAUAUGGGCCUUUUGGAAAAGCAAACGGUACCCCUUUUAGCAGCGAGGUUCCAGAUGGUAACAACAUUGGGGGAUUCUUUCCACGUGCUGGGGGGUCUGUCAAUGCACUUGGCAUUUACGCGUGCCCAAUUUAG